UACCCAGUAAGGUACUGAUCACUU
rnacentral:miRNA from 1 species